rnacentral:misc_RNA from 1 species
GGAGGAAGCUUAUCGAGGACCCGUGCUGUUUUGGGCGUCACUCGAUUCACAUCUGUUCUUAGCUUCAAAAGGAGUGGAGCUUUUUCUGCAUGACUAUAGUCUGUCGUCGAUGGAGCGGUUGCAUUACUGAGCCAGAAAAGGUUAAGAUGAAACUUCGUCGGUGCGUCCUUGCCCCCUGAGAACUGAAUGAUGUGCCAACCAUCGAUAUUGGUUUUCGUGUCCUCUGGAACCACUUCUUCUGAGUUCACUUCAAAAGUGAAGUCUUUGAUUUCUUCGGUAUUAAUAGCAAGCGUCCAGCGUGUGGAAUCUUUAGUGUCAAUCUGCACCCGUGUUUUUCUUAUAUCUUCUGUGGAGUCG